rnacentral:rRNA from 1 species
UACGUAGGGCGCAAGCGUUAUCCGGAAUUAUUGGGCGUAAAGAGCUCAUAGGCGGUUUGUCGCGUCUGCUGUGAAAACUCAGGGCUUAACCCUGAGCCUGCAGUGGGUACGGGCAGACUAGAGUGUGGUAGGGGAGAUCGGAAUUCCUGGUGUAGCGGUGGAAUGCGCAGAUAUCAGGAGGAACACCGGUGGCGAAGGCGGAUCUCUGGGCCAUAACUGACGCUGAGGAGCGAAAGCAUGGGGAGCAAACAGG